rnacentral:lncRNA from 1 species
UUCAGGGGUCUGGAUCAGUCCCGUGCUGGCCUCCCAGACAGCAGUCUGGGGUCCAUGUGCUCCCCCUUGUUCAAGCCAGCUAUUUCUGUGGGUUUCAACAGCCUGGUACCUACCCCUUUGAUCCUCAUUCCUCCCUCUCUGUAACUAAGUUCCAGAGUUCAGUUCAGUGUAUAUCUGUUGGUGUCUGCCUCUGCUUCCAUCAGCCACUGGAUGAGGGCUCUGAGGUUCGGGUGCCAGCAACAGGACAGAGGACGGAGUGUGGACAGAGGUGAGCCUGCUGUCCACAAGGGAUGACGACAAUUAACCCCGGCAUCAUGAUGUCAGCAUGGCGAGCGCAGCACUAGCGGAUCUACCUCUCAUGGUACAUAACCUCAUUUCCUAUGCCACGAGGAAGCACUGGGAAUGAAGACUAAACCUGCUAUGAUUCCUGUUGACCUUUGAAGCUCAAAGAAGGUCUGGGCCUUCUCUUCCUCCUGCUCCACAUUGCUUCUCUUUAGAUCCCUGAAUAAAACCGAACAGGUCACGUGGCUCUGUGAGGCCAUCAGAAC